GAAGUCCACUUGGUUUAAUUUUUUUCCCUGAAAACGUUGAUCAAGCAAGUUUACAAAGGAACACUGGUACUUACCCUUUACCAGGCUCUGAUUCAAGAGUUUAAAGCAUUUUGCUGGCUUUACACAGGCAACUCCUAAAUUGAAAUCUGCUGAAAUGUCCUUAAUCUUUGCUACAUGGGCCUCCAAAGCCCUCUGCACCUUUCAGUGGAUGCAAAAGCACACUUUUGGGAUUGUAAGCAAGAAACAAAGAAAGAAGGAAAGCCAGGAAGUCAUCAAUCUAGGAAAAAAGUAAAAGUUUUAACUAUGGCUCCUCCCAACAACUGAUUAAAGGCUAACACAGCAGCUUGGCUGGAAAGACUGCUUCCCUCCUGAGCCCCAAGCCCAUAUCCAUGAAGUAUUGCUACUCAUAAAACAAAUCAAACAGAUAUAGAAAGAGACAAGAGCAAAAACGAAAAGCAGUCUGGUUACCAGUGCCAUUUCCAGUGGAGAGAAGAAUUUCCAGAAGGACCACCCCUGAAGAUCUUGAUUCCCUUCCUGCUGCAGAAAUCUGUUUCCUCUCUGAGCCAUGACCAUGUUACUACAUCUUUUGUGAGCUUCAUGUCA